CUGGGAUAACUUCGGGAAACCGGAGCUAAUACCGGAUAAUAUAUUGAACCGCAUGGUUCAAUAGUGAAAGACGGUUUUGCUGUCACUUAUAGAUGGAUCCGCGCCGCAUUAGCUAGUUGGUAAGGUAACGGCUUACCAAGGCAACGAUGCGUAGCCGACCUGAGAGGGUGAUCGGCCACACUGGAACUGAGACACGGUCCAG
rnacentral:rRNA from 1 species